UCCCAGACAGAGGUGUUCCAGGUAACACACACCCUAACCCCUCCCAGACAGAGGUGUUCCAGGUAAAAGAGACACACCCUAACCCCUCCCAGACAGAGGUGUUCCAGGUAACACACACCCUAACCCCUCCCAGACAGAGGUGUUCCAGGUAAAAGAGACACACCCUAACCCCUCCCAGACAGAGGUGUUCCAGGUAACACACACCCUAACCCCUACCAGACAGAGGUGUUCCAGGUAAAAGAGACACACCCUAACCCCUCCCAGACAGAGGUGUUCCAGGUAAAAAAGACACACCCUAACCCCUCCCAGACAGAGGUGUUCCAGUUAACACACACCCUAAUCCCUCCCAGACAGAGGUGUUCCAGGUAACACACACCCUAAUCCCUCCCAGACAGAGGUGUUCCAGGUAACAGAGACACACCCUAACCCCUGUCAGACAGCGGUGUUCCAGGUAACACACACCCUAAUCCCUCUCA